UACGGAGGGGGCGAGCGUUAUUCGGAAUUAUUGGGCGUAAAGGGCGCGUAGGCGGCUGUACAAGUCAAAGGUGAAAUCCCUCGGCUCAACUGAGGAACUGCCUUUGAAACUGUACGGCUUGAGGCCGGGAGGGAGUAGCGGAAUUCCCAGUGUAGCGGUGAAAUGCGUAGAUAUUGGGAGGAACACCAGUGGCGAAGGCGGCUACCUGGACCGGUUCUGACGCUGAUGCGCGAAAGCGUGGGUAGCAAACAGG
rnacentral:rRNA from 1 species